AUUCCCCUAGUAACGGCGAGUGAAACGGGAAGAGCGCAAAUUUGAAAGCUGCCACCAGGCCGCGUUGUAAUUUUGGGGAGCGACAUCACAGGGACCUGCCAGAACUAAAGUCGCCUGGAACGGCGCGCCAGAGAGGGUGAGAGCCCCGUGUAUGGUUGUGGUACGGGACCGGCAUGCGUUGUCGUUUCUGAGAGUCGGGUUGUUUGGGAUUGCAGCCUAAAGUGCGUGGUAAAUCUCACGUAACGCUAAAUAUGGGCGAGAGACCGAUAGCGAACAAGAAGUGUGAACGAAAGAAGAAAAG
rnacentral:rRNA from 1 species